GCGCCUCUCCCCCCGUCGCCCCACGGCUUUGAAAAGGUUGCCCAUGUCAAAAAAUCUCAAUCUUGAACACUGAGCAUAAAAGACAAGAAGGGACCCAGACUUUUAAGUAAAUGGAUCCAAUGUAUGCCUCACCACUAGAAAACCCAGUCUGAAAUCUGGACUCUGUGUUAUUUUGUUGAUACAGUCAGAGUGCAUCAUGUUUCAAUCUUGGAACCAAAACUCCAGUUAGAAACACCUGUAAAACAGAAGGAAGAGAAAGGGAAGAGGAGGGAGAGGGAGAUGAAGAAGGAGAAGAAGAAGAGGAAGGAGGAAGAGGAGAAGGGAGGAAAUUAAGAGAAGACAACCAAGAUGUUCAAAUCUCUGGAAACCAAGCCUUCUAAGAAAUGACUUAGGGAGCUGGAUAUGUUUCGCUUGGAAAUGAGAAAACUGAAGGCAUGUCAUGUAGAAGACGGAGCAAGCUAGUUUUCUGCUUCUCCACAGAAUAGAUUGGGAACCAGCAGAUUCAAAUGACAAGACGAGAGAUUCCACCUUAAACAUUAGGAAGAACAUCUUUAAUGAAAGAGCUUUUUGCGUUUAUUUACAAAAAAUAAUAAAUUAUUUAAUUUGGCAAGUCCAGAGGGGUGUUUUUAGGCAUAGACCCUAGGCAAAACUGAGGCUUGGAAAUACAUCAUUUUGCUGGUGCAUCAGGCAAGAAAAUCUGCACGGACCGCCACCUUCUUGCUUCCAUGAAUCAAUCAAGAAUCGGUCCGAUCUGUUGCAAAUCCCCUAUAGAUCUACCAGUUGAUCUUGCAUAACAGUCUGAUCCUAACAGCAUUGGACAAUGGGUGCCUGUUGGCAAACUGGUGAUGCCAUUCUUUGUUUCUUUUCCCUCCCUCCGUACCCGGUGCAAAUUAAGUCCACGCCAACCCAGAAGGAGAGCAGUGAGCUACUCUCACUAUUCAUCACCAAACGGAAGCAUCGUUGGACAGAUCUACAAGUCUCUGAUAGUACCAGCCGGAGACAUGGAGCAAAGAUUUGGGAGUGGUCGGGAAAAGAAUCACCCGACCCAAACGCCCGAGAAGAAGGUGAAUAAUGAAGAAGAGAUGGUGGGAGCCAUAACUGCCUUUCCCUCUUUCUCUCCCUCCCCUCCAUUAAUGCCACCACAAAUUAAAUGCCGUGAAUGCAAAUGCUUCGAGAGCCGAGUGCGGGAUGUUGCUGACUCUAUAAUGGCCGUCAUAUCUGCCUUCACUCCGUCACUCCGCUGCAGGUAAUUAAUUGCCUUGUAAAGUGCUCUAAGAUACAGUGCAUGAAAAAUGUGAGACGGAGGGGAGGAGGACGUACAAUACAGCCGCCGGGAGUUAAAGGAACCCAACGCCGAGGCAGAGACAGUGUGUCCUAACGUGGAAAGCCAUGAAGCCCACUCCCAAAUUGCACAAGCUUCACCUAUCCAUUAGCAAAGACCCUCCUUCUUUCCCUGAUCACCCAAACAUGGUCUUUAAGGUUCAUAUGAUUUCAGUAGCCUUCCUGUAAUUUCAGUGUCACCUCUUUAUUUAUAACGUUUGACAAGGGAGGAAUUAUAACAAAAUAAACGUAAUUUAUGAGCCCUUCCAGGAAGAGAGAUCAAAACGGAAGAAGGGUUUUGCGCCGCUACAAAGGUGUCACUUUGAUCCUGGAGGAAAAGAAGAGGAAGAAGGAAAGAAAGAAAGAAAGAAAGAAAGAAAGAAAGAAAGAAGAAAUCGCCUAUGGACACCAUUAAUGCCUGUGACAGUAUAGCUAAUAGAUCUCCAGAGAAAUAUAAUUGCUUUCUAGCCACUCUUUGGUUCAGAAUACAGUACAAUCUCCGUUUCUGCGAGACUGGUACCCCCAUGGUUUCAUUUACUCAUGUCUGCAAAAAUCUCUUUAAGCAUUUUCUAGGUUUUCCAGCAUGAUGUUAUGGUAUGUGUCCAGUAGAAGCUAACCACAGAGUUGUGCUAGAGGACCUAGAAAUGCCCAGAGAGGUGUUUGCUCUAGAAAUCUCUAGGUCCUCCAUGCAACUCCAUGGUCAACUUCUUCUAGACGUCAUUCAUUUCUAUAGGCUUCAGUGUUAUCUGUGGUUUCGCAUUUUCAUGGUAAGUCCAGGAAUGUAUCCCCCAUGAAUAUGUGGAUCAUACUGUACUUGCAAAUGAUUUCAUCUUCAGUGACCAAAGGUCUCCUGACACACUAAAAACAAAGAGCAACCACCAUCUUUUUUUGUCAUUCAUGACUUACUGGGGGGGACAACAUUUUUGUUCAAAGAUCCUGCAUCAUAGGCUACCAUGUGUAACAUUACAUUGACAGUGCUAUGUUGCUGAGAUGCUACACAACUACGCUAGUGAAUUCCAAUAAUAAAGAGGUCCCAUUUCACAAUGGGCCACAGUAGCUUCCACAAUGAUUCCAAGAGAUGGAAAAUUCUAUUCUUAAAAUGGGAAAUGCAAUGGCCUCCCAUUUCUGACAAUAGGAAACACAGUGACCAUCCGUUCCUAAUGUUGCCAGGUUUGGAAAAGAUCUGCCAUUUCAUUUGUACUGGAAAUGAAGACAUAUCCAUGCCAGCUGCUGGGAGACACUCGCUGCCUGUUCCUUAUUCAUAUCUAUCAUCCAGUGUUGACUUGUUAUUGCAAAUCUCAGCAGCCUCUAUCACCGUUUUUAGUAGGCCUUUAUUUCAUCACAGCAUAUUGAGAUUGCCUCCUGCAAUUACAGCUUUUGUAUCGGAACUGAUGGGAUCAUCCUUUCACUUAAAAAGAAAUCUCUCUUGCUUUAUUGGCAUUCCAGAUCCUAGUGCAUUCAUUGGGAUUGUGCCAAAGAAAGGGCAUCAGCACCUGCCUUGGGAGAAAGCAGCAACCCUUCCUCUUCCACAUCUGAGGAAGAACCAUGUGCAGUUCAACAGUUUGCAUAGGAAGACUGCAUUUUAUCCGUUCUUGAAACAGCUACGCUUGACGCAUGUUCAUAUGAGGACAUGUAAGGUAGCCUUCUUGUUGACAGUAGACUAGAGAUAGAACCAUCUGUUGAUUUUGUGUAAAGCAUUAAAAAAAAUCUCAGGUUCUUUCCAAUCUGUUUAUGAAGAACUUUGUUGAAGUUGCCUUUGCAUCAUUUCCAGCAUGUGACAAACUGAAGGCAACCCUAUCACAAUCUUUACUUUCAGCUCUGAUCCUGCUGAAGCAAUUCCUUUCUAAUGCAAAGGGAUAUUGCUGCACCUUGGAGACAACUUGUGCAAAAGAAGUUGUAGCAUAAGCUUGCGUAGACUUGAUCUACUUCCCCGGAUGCAUGCAUGGAUGAUGUCCUACCUGGAUCAUGGAGACAAAAAUUGUAGAAAGGAGAGGAAAGUAUCUCCGUUUUGGUCUGUCUUUCUCUUUAUUUGUCCAAAGUGUUGGAUUGCAAUCCAUUUUAUCACUAGGCAGGCCUUGGCUGCAUAUGCAUUGCAGAAAUAAUCCAAUUUAACUGCCAGGGCUCAAUGUUAUGACAUUCUGGGAAUUUCAAUUUUGCAAGACGUUUAGCUUUCCCUGUUAGAGAGCUCUGGUUCCACUACAAACUGCAGUUCCCAGAAUCCCGCAGCAUUGAGCCAGAGCACUUAAAGUGUGGUCCAAUUUGAUUCUUUCUGGACUGUGGAUGCAGCUUCAGUGAUAUGCAAAAGGGGCCUUAUCACACCUCCUUAUUGCCAAUGAACUAAAAAUACAACCCAUGGAAGAAAGGGUGUCACGUGCCUUCAGAGCGAUCUGUGUUUGUUUCAUGCAUUUGGUAAAAAAAAAAGGGGGGGGAUUUGGAAAGACUUAGGCCCUUUAAGGGUAAAAAGGAAAGCUGACCUUGGCAUACACGGGGGUGACUUUCUAAACUCUGCACCAUCUGGGCUUUGAGAGCAAAGGGGGGACGGUCUGUUUGUAGCACCUGCAACAAUGCUGUUGAGGGACCAAAAAAACCAAACGGGUAAUGAGAAACAGCUGCCUGAAACCCAAAAUUAAAUCAAAGCUUCGAGAUCGGGGACGUCUCAUCAUUUCUGCCUCUUGUCUUCCCCGUAACGUAACCAGUUAUUUUCAGCAUCCGGGAUGGGCUGGCAAGACAUGGCCCCCUCUCCGAAACCAACACUGGCACGUAUUGAAAUGCGCACAAUGUCUAAACUGUGCCAGGGUUGUACAGUGGUUUGUGUUUUGAGGUAGGGGUACAUAUGCACUGUAGAAAUAAUGCAGUUUGAUGCCACUUUA